UCCGGCUUAUCACCGGCAGCCCCCUUAGAGUGCCCAACUUAAUGCUGGCAACUAAGGGCGAGGGUUGCGCUCGUUGCGGGACUUAACCCAACAUCUCACGACACGAGCUGACGACAGCCAUGCACCACCUGUGAUCGAGUCCCGAAGGAGGGCCGUAUUUCUACGGCUUUCCCGACCAUGUCAAGCCUUGGUAAGGUUCUUCGCGUUGCGUCGAAUUAAACCACAUGCUCCGCUGCUUGUGCGGGGCCCCGUCAAUUCCUUUGAGUUUUAGCCUUGCGGCCGUACUCCCCAGGCGGGGCACUUAAUGCGUUAGCUCCGGCACGGACUCAGUGAAGAGCCCACACCAAGUAUGCAUCGUUUAGGGCGUGGACUAC
rnacentral:misc_RNA from 1 species